UUAACCAAUUUUUUUCCAUCUCCUCCAGUGGCUACAAGUACAAUGAUCAACUUUGAGUCCUAUGUUUUUAGGACUGUUGGGAGAUCAACUUUGAGGAUCCGAAGCUCGGUGACCUCCUCGCCACAUGAUUCGUGUACUCGGCCAGCGUAGUGGAGUCGAUCCUCGACUCGUCGCGCGAGGACAGUUACGAAAAACAUGCCUUCGUCGAGCUAGGGUUUGAUUGGAACCUUCGACUUCAAAGUCGCGUUCACCGAUCACGAGAAGUAUGUCUACCAUGAGCAUGUGAAGGAAUUUGGUGACUCUGCCAUCGCUGAAGAAUAUGAAAUCGACAUUCAUCUUGCCGCCAACGCUUUCAUCAAACGGCAAUGACGACGUCGAUUGUUUUUCCGCCGCCUUUACCUCCUUCAUCGACAACGAAAUCAGUCUUGGCAACGCGUGGAGCAAAUUCUACUUGACGACAAGCAUCCCAAACCCAACAACGGUGCUCCUACCUUCGGCUUCGAUUCUUAUGUCUUUCUACGAGAAGGUAGUUGAACAAUUUUGACAAGCUUUGGAGAUUUCACCAUAGUGUGUGCCUGCACAAUAUGGACUUGCUUUGGGGCUGCUUGGUUUAGCAAAAAGACUGCAUCAAUCUAGGAGCAUAUAGAUGGGGGGCUUCACUGUUACAGGUUUUUCUCUUCAAUAUUUUGUCUUUAAUAAUUAUUAUGUUGUUUUUUAUUAAGUUUUCAAUGCUUUUGUUGCUUUUAUAAAUUCUUUUAGAGGGCUUUUGAUGCAAAUAUGUUACAGGCUUCUCAAGAGGUUCAAGAUUUAGAUGUAGACAACCUUUUGUUUAUUUCUCAAAUUCUGUGUGGUGGAGACUAAGAGUGUAGUUAUCAAACAUUGUUAUUGCUUAUGCAUUAAUGGCACAUUAAAUAGUAAUCAGAGGAAGAGAAAAAGCAUAAGAAAAUGGAAUAAAGCAAAGGAAGAGUUUGUGAAACAAGAGGAACAAGCUUUAUUGGUUCAUGGAUUAUCAAGAACCUCCUUCAAGAUGGUUACUUUGUUAACACCACUGAGAAACAACUCAGGUAGUAAAAGCAACCCUAUCUGUGUUACAUAAACAUUUUCAGAAUGAAAAAAAAAACUUUUGAAUCCACUUUUUAAUAUUGGUUGAAAUUCCAUUGAAAAAAAAAUUCUAAUGGAUGAUUAUAUGUUACUUCUUACUUGUUAUAAUCCACCAUAAUGAUACUUAAAAUUCUAUUGGAGCGCAUUACACUGUGUGCUUAGUGCUGAGAUUUUUUCUUGUCAUAGUGCAGUAAAUUACUUCACUUUUUAGUUAGUGAAUAGUAGACCACCUCCGUCAAUUGUGACCUUGGUAGCUUUGGUGAAUUGAAAUGAUGCUCAGGGAAAUCUGAGGUUUCAUUGAAUAGGAGCACAGUAAAAUAUAUGUGUGGAAAUGGUCCUGUUUGCAGGGACUCAAUCCUUUGAUGUUCAUGUUUGUUGUACUUGGGAAUACCACUUAUGUAGCCAUGUAUUAACACUGGUAAUACUCCUGCUAAGCUAUUUGUUGUGGAUGAGUUACUUCUUGUGAUAGUAUACAUGAUGGAUAUUAAAUUGGCAGAAAAUUUGCUCUCUACAGUAUAUCAAUGACCUUUUUGUUACUAGCAAGAAGAUUACUAAGUAUUUAAAUUUGACAAUGUGAUUAGUCUAAACCUUCUCUGUUAUGCUUCCUCUGUCUGCCACAAAAAGCAAGCAAAUUAAUAGCAAAAAGAUCAUCACAAAUGGACAACUCUUCCUUAUAAAGCAACUUUUAAUUUUAAGUGAGCAGGUAAUUUUGUCAGUCUUCUUAGUGAAGUUUUAUAGGCUUCAUUAGAUAGGAAUGAUGACCAUAAAAGAUGUCCUAAACAUAGUAUGCUGCUUCACUUUGUUUUAGUCAUUCACAAUCCUAAGAGAAAAAGUUCCUUUAAAUCUAGUUUUUAAUAUUUUUCUUGUGCACAAAACAAUUGGUUGAAUCUGUUUUGAGCAAGGUUUUAGAGGAGUUUGACAAAGCAAAGUAACAAGGAGAUUCUUGGACUCAAAUCCAAUGGUGUUUUAGUUGAGGGUCUUCAUUUCAAACCUGCUUUUGUUUCUUCUUUUGUUUUUAUUUUGAGAUUCUGCGAAUUGAUAUAGUAAUUUUCUUAUUAGUUCCAAGGGAUUGUGACACGUACUGACAUUUAAUUAAGUGUUUUUUACUGUGUUAUGUUAGUUUCUAUGAGUUAUUAAUGUUUAUGUUAUGUUAGGCCUAUUUUUGACUUUUAAGUUUUAUUAUUUUGUGUGCAUUUAAUAUUUUGUUUUGCCACCUGGGACAAAUUUAAAAUAUCUUGCAGCAUCACCCACCUAACAAGCAUUGCAGAAUGAUAAUGGGUUUACAGUGCAGAAAUUUAUGAUGUGCCAAAGAGAUAAAGCACUGAUAUGACCUUCCCACGUGUGGAGUCAAAGAGCAUUUUCUUUUUUCUUUCUUUGUGGUGGCUGACGACUACGGACACUAGAUCACUUGGGAAGAAUAAGGAACUCUAUAAAUAUAAUAUAUAUAUAUAUAUAUAUAUAUAUAUAUAUAUGUACAGCAUAUUAUUCUUUGGUCCUGAAGCUGAAGUUGUCUUGAUAGAUACUCUCCACUCCAUAAUGUCAGGAGACCAUGGGAACAACAUACUGAUCAGUCUAUUCAGUAUCCAUCAACCAUGCUGUUGACAACUGAUCAUGAUGAUCGUGUUGUGCCAUUGCACACAUUGAAGUUAUUAGCGGUAUUUGAAGAUAGAUACUGUAGUUUUUGUGAUCCUGAUAUACCUAUACCCAGGUUACUGAUAGAGGGUUACUAGUGAUUAAAGGGUUCACUCAAAACAUGUUACUGCAGUUAGCCACACAAUUGAUGAAUACACUCUUGUUUCAGCAAUUCGACCAAAAGGGGCAUUAUUCACCAUGUUGGUUCCUGCCACAGGAUCAAUCUACUGAUCUGAAAGAUAUCCUGCAGAGAUUGGCACCCCAUUACAAUGCCGAACUAUAGGUUUCUGAUCAAGGAAGUGUGCCAACUAAUACAACAAGUUCUGGACAUGAGAAAAAUCAUAUGUGAUAGUUGACGAAUAUAAUAUAAUGUGGAAGUUAAUUGAAUCAUUUUAUGUUUUGAGAACCAUUGCAGUACUUCAUGAUAGGUUUUGCUGACUAAUAUGGUACUUGAAUUUGAAUUUGAAUUCGUAUAUUUGUUAUACUUUGAUAUACA